rnacentral:rRNA from 1 species
AAAUUGAAGAGUUUGAUCAUGGCUCAGAUUGAACGCUGGCGGCAGGCCUAACACAUGCAAGUCGAACGGUAGCACAGGGGAGCUUGCUCCUUGGGUGACGAGUGGCGGACGGGUGAGUAAUGUCUGGGAAACUGCCCGAUGGAGGGGGAUAACUACUGGAAACGGUAGCUAAUACCGCAUAACGUCGCAAGACCAAAGAGGGGGACCUUCGGGCCUCUU